UACGGGGGGGGCAAGCGUUGUUCGGAAUUACUGGGCGUAAAGGGCGCGUAGGCGGCCUUCUAAGUCAGACGUGAAAUCCCUCGGCUCAACCGAGGAACUGCGUCUGAUACUGGAAGGCUUGAAUCCGGGAGAGGGAUGUGGAAUUCCAGGUGUAGCGGUGAAAUGCGUAGAUAUCCGGAGGAACACCGACGGCGCAGGCAGCGUCCUGGCCGCUUGCUGACACUGAGGCACGAAAGCUGGGGGAGCAAACAGG
rnacentral:rRNA from 1 species